UACGUAGGGGGCUAGCGUUGUCCGGAAUCAUUGGGCGUAAAGCGCGCGUAGGCGGGUUGGUAAGUCCGCUGUGAAAGCCCGGAGCUCAACUCCGGAGGGUCGGUGGAUACUGCCAGUCUUGAAGGUGCUAGGGGGAGAUGGAAUUACCGGUGUAGCGGUGAAAUGCGUAGAUAUCGGUAGGAACACCAGUGGCGAAAGCGGCCACCUGGACUGUACCUGACGCUGAAACGCGAAAGCUAGGGGAGCGAACGGG
rnacentral:rRNA from 1 species